UACGUAAUGCGAAUUGCAGGAUUCAGUGAGUCAUCGAAAUUUUGAACGCAUAUUGCACUUCCGGGUUAGUCCUGGGAGUAUGCCUGUAUCAGUGUCCGU
rnacentral:rRNA from 1 species